rnacentral:rRNA from 1 species
AUUGCCCCAGUAACGGCGAGUGAAGCGGCAAGAGCUCAAAUUUGAAAGCUGGCUCCUUCGGGGUCCGCAUUGUAAUUUGCAGAGGAUGUUUCGGGAGCGGCCCCCAUCUAAGUGUCCUGGAACGGACCGUCAUAGAGGGUGAGAAUCCCGUAUGGGAUGGGGUGCCCGCGCCCAUGUGAAACUCCUUCGACGAGUCGAGUUGUUUGGGAAUGCAGCUCUAAAUGGGUGGUAAAUUUCAUCUAAAGCUAAAUAUUGGCCGGAGACCGAUAGCGCACAAGUAGAGUGAUCGAAAGAUGAAAAGCACUUUGAAAAGAGAGUUAAAAAGCACGUGAAAUUGUUGAAAGGGAAGCGUUUGCGAUCAGACUCGCCGACGGGGUUCAGCCUGCCUUCGGGCAGGUGUACUUCCCCGCCGGCGGGCCAGCGUCGGUUUGGGCGGCCGGUCAAAGGCUCUGGGAAUGUAACGCCUCUCGGGGCGUCUUAUAGCCCAGGGUGUCAUGCGGCCUGCCCGGACCGAGGAACGCGCUUCGGCUCGGACGCUGGCAUAAUGGUCGUAAACGACCCGUCUUGAAACACGGACCAAGGAGUCUAACAUCUAUGCGAGUGUUCGGGUGUCAAACCCGUGCGCGAAGUGAAAGCGAACGGAGGUGGGAACCCUUUGGGUGCACCAUCGACCGAUCCUGAUGUCUUCGGAUGGAUUUGAGUAAGAGCAUAGCUGUUGGGACCCGAAAGAUGGUGAACUAUGCCUGAAUAGGGCGAAGCCAGAGGAAACUCUGGUGGAGGCUCGCAGCGGUUCUGACGUGCAAAUCGAUCGUCAAAUUUGGGUAUAGGGGCGAAAGACUAAUCGAACCAUCUAGUAGCUGGUUCCUGCCGA